CCACAACAGGAAUUCCUCGCCCAAUUUUUAAAUGUAGACAACUUACUGAAGUGUUCCUUUUUGUUUUUUGUUGUUGUUGUUGUUGUUUCCCCAAAAAACACUGCGUGGGCCAAACAAAACAGAUCGACAGACUGGACUUGGCCCACGGGUCUGCAAUGGUAACCUCCGCUCAGCGGGCUCCCUGCUUGCCUUCGAGUCAGGCGGGUCCUGCAGGCAACACAAACCACCAGCCGGGACUGGAGAUCACCCCACUUCGAGUGCCAGCUUCCAGCCCAUGAACCUCUUAAUGGGAAAUAAAUGUUUAAAUCAACUCCCAACCGACACCCACACCAAAAGGACAGAAACUACUAAUUCCUACCCACCACAUCCAAGUCGCCAGUUUUACUUCACAGGAAGGGGAAAAAAAUAAAAAGGAUCUAUUAAAAAAAGAAGAGGAAGAAGAAAGAAAAAAGAAAACCAACAAAGGCAAACUGGGAAACGCACUGCUGCUGACUUGCCGUCAGAGGGGAGCAGCUCAGCCCUGGGCCCGUCCCAGACAUGAAAAUUACAGAGCAGCGUCGCAGACAUACCCCUGCCCUCUGUGUCACUCACGCAGGAGGAAUGCGACGCGACAACCUCCCCCGGGACCAGGAGCAGGGCUGACCUCAGAGAGGGGUGUGGGCACAGGGCCCGAGGCUGAGCGGCGGGGGGCUAGGGCUCCCACACUUGUGCCCACUGCACAGAUCAGGACACUGAGGCAGGCGGCGGAGAUGAGGUACAAGCCUGGUCCAUCGGACUCGGGGGUAAUGGCUGUCCUCACGCCCUCAGGACCAGCGAUUUGGCAGGCCCUGGGCAGCCAGUGGGCAGCCGCUGUGCGGCCAAGCCUGAGGCAGGCCUAAAGGGACAAGGGCAGAACAGGACAUGUGGUCUGCCCUGACCCUUCUCUUGCCAACUCCAGGAAGAGGACAUGAGACCGCGUCACAUCCCUGCUCCCCCAGGCCCUGGGCAUAAAAUCCAAGCUCCCUGUGGAGGCCAUGGCAGCUGGGACGGCCCCCGCCUGCCCCGCAGUGUUCCACCUCAGGGCCUUUGCACUGGCUGCACCCAACCCUGAACCGUUCCUCCCCACCCGCCCAUAGGACUGGCUCCACAGUCAGGGCUGCCUCCCCCUGUCUAGAGCAAGCUUCCACCUGCCUCUCUCUCCCCCGUCCCAUAGUCACUACCGACGCGUCACUAGGAGAACCACAGGCCGGAUGGGCCAAACCCUCCACCGGAGGCAAGGCGAGUGUCGGCCCCAACACAGGACAGCUCGUCUGAACAGAGCCCGCUGGGUCCCAGGCCCUGUCCUGGGCCCACUUAGGCUCCUUCACUGCAUCCUGACCAUCGUCCCAGGUCAGCACAUCACUACUCUCUCAUCUGGGAGGUGAGGACACUGCAGAGGUUACACAACUCACGCCAACACACACACACCCUGGACAUUUGAACACAAGGAGCAAAACGCCAGAGAGCCUCUGAAGAUGUGUGUGCGUGUGUGUGUGUGUGUGUGUGUUCAUGGCACUGUGUGUGUGUGUGCGUGUCUGCAUGCGUGCAUCUGUGUGCACCGCCGCAGGUGUGUCUUCUGUGCAUCUGUGCCUGUAUAUGCCUGUGUGUGUGUGUGUAUGUGUGUGUGCGUUCCCCUCGCCUCCUCAAGAUGGGCUAGCUUUGUACUGAUCUUACGAGUCUCAGGGCCACAGACAAGAAACACCACCAGCAAGUUAGGAGUCGGGUUUAUUCACAAACUAGUAGUUUCAACUUUGUGAAACUGAUAUUUAGUCAUUUUCGACUCACAGACUUGCAGUUCCCCCAAAUGGUUCCCCCAAGUCUAACCCAAGAACCACCUUUGGGUGGUGUCUCACAGGCAGGCAGGGCCCGAGGGGAGGAACCUGGACCGGGGUCCCGGGGGGCCACCCGUCACUGCCGAUCCGGCCUGGCUUAGCUUAAGCACUUUCUCCAGACACAGCAAGGGGGAAAGCAAGCUGCUGUGAGGUGAAACUUCUGAAAUGCCAUCUCUGCGACCUGUGCAGAUGCCAUAGCGCAGAGGACAGAAACACCAGGCAGAGGGCUAGAAACCUGGCCCCUCGGCCAGCAGCCUGCAUGUGCAAAGAAAGCUCCAAACUCAGGCUGCCUCUCGAACCCGAACCUGCCCUUCACCGUGUGGCAUCCCAGGGGCCCUGACGGGGCCUUGUCCAACCGUGGAGAGCAGGGAGCAGAAGCUGGAGGCCGCUUUAUUCAUCGAAGCGUCUCAACAUCUUUGUUGCUGUUUUUGUUUAAUUCUCUUCAAACUGAAACUGUCAAAAGUCGUGCCUGAUAAAUCUGAAGGCUGUAGAGGAAGUGGUUUGUCCUUCCUCCGAUCAUGACUUCUGCAAAAGAUAACACACAGCUCUGGGUGAAACGUCAGGCGAGCCAGGGCCCCCCCCCAUGGGGCUGGAGCCACUGGAGGGGUCAAGGUGCAAGUUCCUCCGGUUCCCUGCCCCCCAGUGUCGGCUGCUCCACGAGGCAGAAGGGGCCAAAGAAAGCCCUCCUCACCCCCACCCCCCCAAGACUUUCAGGAAACUUGAUUCAGCCUGGAACCUCCUCCACCUGGCGGCUCUUACACGCCCACAGCAGCCUGGGAGGAGAGCGCCAACAUCCCAUUUUCCAGAUGAGACGACGAAGGGGGUUAGAAGGUAAAUAACACGCUCAAUUUUAUCUCAGUAACCGGCCCAGCGUCCCACGCAGCCAGAGCCUGACCAGCAGAGCUGGCUCCAAAGCUCCUGGGAGGCCGUCUCCGGCCCUGCCCCUCCCGGGCUCAGGCGUCAGGCCCCCUCCUCUGUAGCCAUGGGAACAGCAGAUGUCAUCACAGUACCAGCAAGAUCGGGCUCUCUUUUUCUCAGGCACCGUCCCUGUCAGGCAUGGCACAAACACUGGACCUGUACUGUUCUCACCAAAUCCUCUCCGAAGCCCAGAGGACUGGUACCACUAUUCACCCCACUGUGCCAAUGACAAAGAAAGAAAAGCUCAGAGACGUUAAGCCACUUGCCCAAGGUCACAGAGCUGGCAAGUGGCAGAACCCAGGUUGGAACUCCCAAUGUGCUGCUCUGAUCAGUAGCCCAGGGGUUCCUUUUGCUGCAGAAGACCGAGGCCAGCCUUUCAAAGACCAGACAGUUCUCUCCAUUAUUUUGAGUCUAGAUGCUUCUGGCCCAGACGAACCUCAAGGGCUGGCCCUCUUUGAGUCCACUGACACCAAAGGUUGGGGGAGAGAGGCCAUUUCCUCGUUGGCAAUGAACUGGGCCCCACCCUCGUCACAGCAUGGCCCUUCCCAGGUUCUCGGGCCUAAGGAUGUCCACGUCAGGGCAAAGAACAAGGUCCCUUCAAGGCCGAGCUGGAAGGAACAAGACGUUCAGGGCCAUUCCAGGUACUGGGCUUCCAUGUUCAAGUCCAAAGGCCUGAGCCCAGCACGCAGGACAGCUCAUCCGGGCCCAUCCCACUCAACGCACUCCUGGCACAAGAAGCGUCUCCCUCUCCAGGCUGUGCUGGCCCUGCGGCGUCUUCCGGUUCUGCAGCACCUCUCUGAGCCUCGCGUGCUGUUCCCUGCACUCUCAUCAGCCACCCCUUCUCUGAGCAGCAGCCUUCUUCUCCGGGGCCCCAUCACUUGGGGCCUUAGAACCGACUGUCUCCAGCUCUGUCUCCUCCAGCUCGCCGUGUUCCCAACCCGCGGCACUGCACCUGGCACCCAGCAGGUGCCCCCUGAGAGCAUGCUUCAGGCACAGGUGCCAAGUGAGAAGACCCUAGCAUGCAAGGAAGAUGCAGCACACACAGCACCAGCUCCGUUUUCCCACUUGGUUCCUGCUCUGCCUUGUGCCGGAGGCUCCAUCCCGUAAGCCCAGGAGGUGAAAAGCCGGGGUUUGAAGCCAACCCUCCCGAGCUGGGCACAGACCCGUCGCCUGAGACUGUGGGGGGGGGGAGGGAAAGAGCCACUGUAGUUUAUUUCACAGGUGAGAGCAGAGGGGGGAUGGAGGAACCGUGGGGGCCACCUCCCCACCCCCAUACACACCACUCCACCCUCCCAGCCUGCCAGCCCCGAAAGGCCCUCUCCUGUCACUUUGCACUCCGGAGAGCCACCAAGUGACCUCAAAUGUGCAUCUCGUGGUCUUGAGGACCGGGACCCAGGCCCCCGGGAGCCCUCAGAUUAGAAGAGGGGCAGAAGAGGGGGAGGCCGGGAAACUGAGGCCCUCCACGCUGGUCCUCCCACACCUGAGCCUGGGGACCAGUGGCAUUUCUGAGGGGACAGCAUUCAAAUCCUCCCGCCUCCACACGGCAGGCUUUGGCAGGGGGAGGAGAGGGAGGGGCAGGGCACCCUGGUUGGGGCUGCUCUGUGACCGGCCCAGCCCUGCAGGUGCCCCUCAGUGCCCACCUCCCUGGCGAGUGGCUGUGCGUCCCUUGUGCGGUAAGGCCUGAGGCCGGAUACUCAGACACUGAGGGACUCACUCAGGACCCCCAGUGAGGGCAAACCAGGUCCACGCCCAUCGCCCAGAGUGGCGGGACGACCCAGGCCGGGUGGCGUCCUGGGACCUCACCAAGCCCUUUGCCUGACAACCGGGAAACGAGCGCAGUCUUACAACUUCGCUGUGCCCAAGGAGAUUCCGCCCGGCCCUGGGUGUGGAGGGGAGGAUGGGUGUGCUUCAGAGGCAGCCGGGGGUUUCAGUCUGUUUAUCUUCCUGUUUUGUUCUGGUCACCUCGACCCUCUAACCAGAGGGCCCUGGCCCCAGAGAAAGCACAGGGAAAAGGAAAGAGCCUGCCCCCUCGAGCCCCUGGCACGGGCUGCCGAGCUCGCCCUCGGCUUUCCCCAGCUCGGGGAGGGACCAGGGCCUCUUUCACGGCUGGGCCCUUUGUUCUCGUUCCCAGGGAGGAGGGUUCGAUGGACAAAUCGGCUGGGCCAAAGCAUCCAGGGAGGUGAUGCAGAGUCAAAUGCCCCUC
rnacentral:lncRNA from 1 species